rnacentral:rRNA from 1 species
AACGAACGCUGGCGGCAUGCCUAACACAUGCCAGUCGAACGAGACCUUCGGGUCUAGUGGCGCACGGGUGCGUAACGCGUGGGAACCUGCCCUUAGGUUCGGAAUAACUCCCCGAAAGGGGUGCUAAUACCGGAUAAUGUCUUCGGACCAAAGAUUUAUCGCCUUUGGAUGGGCCCGCGUUGGAUUAGCUAGUUGGUUGGGUAAAAGCCUACCAAGGCGACGAUCCAUAGCUGGUCUGAGAGGAUGAUCAGCCACACUGGGACUGAGACACGGCCCAGACUCCUACGGGAGGCAGCAGUGGGGAAUAUUGGACAAUGGGCGAAAGCCUGAUCCAGCAAUGCCGCGUGAGUGAUGAAGGCCUUAGGGUUGUAAAGCUCUUUUACCCGGGAUGAUAAUGACAGUACCGGGAGAAUAAGCUCCGGCUAACUCCGUG